rnacentral:rRNA from 1 species
AAACCUGAGAAACCUAAAAGAUCGAAUGGGGAGAUUCAUCGUCAACGGCGUUGGCUUCCGUGUGGAUCGCGAUGACCGGGACCUCGGUUCCGCGUCACGCGUCCGCUGCGGUAUGCCCGACGUCGUCGGCGUGCACUUCUCCCCUAGUAGGACGUCGCGACCCGUUGGGUGCCGGCCUACGGCCCGGUUGGUCGACUGUCGCGUCGCGUUCACGCGUGCACGCGGCAGACCAUCGGUCGCCCGGCCGGCUGCCCGGCGGUAUAGAUCGCUAUAAAACGGUAUUGGGCCGCAUUAAGUGCGUUCUGGCUCGUCGGCAGGCUCGUCUCGCUCGGAUUUACGGACCUAGUGCCGUUGCCGGGCGCUUGGCGUGGCCGUUAGUCGAUGAUGUCCUCGGACUGGCUCUUACAUUCGAACGGAUUUACCGGUCGGCGACGCUACUGCUUUAGGUACUUU